GACGAACGCUGGCGGCGUGCUUAACACAUGCAAGUCGAACGAAGUGGCGAACGGGUGAGUAAUACGUGGGUAACCUGCCCUCCUGUUUGGGAUAAGCCUUGGAAACGGGGUCUAAUACCGUAUAAAGGGGGAUGGGCUCGCGGCCUUUCAGCUUGUUGGUGGGGUGAUGGCCUACCGAGGGGGUGACGGGUAGCCGGCCUGAGAGGUUGAACGGCGACAUAGGUACUGAGCUCAGGCCCAUGGUCGUACGGGGGGGAGCAGUGGGGGAUAUUGCACAAUGUGCGAAAGCCUGAUGCAGCGACGCCGCGUGGUGGAUGAGGGCUUUCGGGUUGUAAACCUCUUUCGCUAUCGAACCGGUAGGUGGAGAAGAAGCGCCGGCUAACUACGUGCCAGCAGCCGCGGUAAUUC
rnacentral:rRNA from 1 species